AAACACAGAUGAAGGGUUGUGACAUAAGAGGAGGUAUGGUUGCAAAUGUUGAUGCCUUAACAACUCGGCAGCUGUAGGUCUGUGUUCUGGAUUUUUCCUUAGCAUGCUUUUGAUUAUCUGUUUCAAGGUGGAGGAGUAUAUAAUCGGAAUUGGUGAGAACAAACCCCGGUUUAUUUUGUUGAUAAGUGCAGUCUUGUCAGCAGCUCUAAAUGGUGGUUGAUGUGCAGCAAUCUCAAACAUGCAGCAUCCAAGUGACCAUAUAUCAGAUUUGUAGCCAUAGGGUAUACCAGAAAGGAGCUCAGGGCACAUGCCGUUCGGAGUGCCAGGUACCACGGAAGCAAGGCCUUCUGCAUCGAGCAAUUUUGCUAAGCCAAAAUCACCUAACCUGAUGUCG
rnacentral:misc_RNA from 1 species